AACGAACGCUGGCGGCAUGCCUAACACAUGCAAGUCGAACGGACCCUUCGGGGUUAGUGGCGCACGGGUGCGUAACGCGUGGGAAUCUGCCCUUUGCUGCGGAAUAACAGUUAGAAAUGACUGCUAAUACCGGAUGAUGUCUUCGGACCAAAGAUUUACCGAGCAAGGGAUGAGCCCGCGUAGGAUUAGGUAGUUGGUGGGGUAAAGGCCUACAAAGCCGACGAUCAUUAGCUGGUCUGAGAGGAUGGUCAGGCACACUGGGACUGGGAUACGGACCAGACUCCUACGGGAGGCAGCAGUGGGGAAUAUUGGACAAUGGGCGCAAGCCUGAUCCAGCAAUGCCGCGUGAGUGAUGAAGGCCUUAGGGUUGUAAAGCUCUUUUACCAGGGAUGAUAAUGACAGUACCUGGAGAAUAAGCUCCGGCUAACUCCGUGCCAGCAGCCGCCGUAACAC
rnacentral:rRNA from 1 species